GAUGAACGCUGGCGGCGUGCUUAACACAUGCAAGUCGAGCGAAGCAGUUAAGAAGAUUCUUCGGGUGAUUCCUGACUGACUGAGCGGCGGACGGGUGAGUAACGCGUGGGUGACCUGCCCCAUACCGGGGGAUAACAGCUGGAAACGGCUGCUAAUACCGCAUAAGCGCACAGAGCUGCAUGGCUCGGUGUGAAAAACUCCGGUGGUAUGGGAUGGGCCCGCGUCUGAUUAGGCAGUUGGCGGGGUAACGGCCCACCAAACCGACGAUCAGUAGCCGGCCUGAGAGGGCGACCGGCCACAUUGGGACUGAGACACGGCCCAAACUCCUACGGGAGGCAGCAGUGGGGAAUAUUGCACAACGGGGGAAACCCUGAUGCAGCGACGCCGCGUGAGCGAAGAAGUAUUUCGGUAUGUAAAGCUCUAUCAGCAGGGAAGAUAAUGACGGU
rnacentral:rRNA from 1 species